GAUGAACGCUAGCUACAGGCUUAACACAUGCAAGUCGAGGGGCAGCGGGGAGGAUGCUUGCAUUCUCUGCCGGCGACCGGCGCACGGGUGAGUAACGCGUACCGAACCUGCCUCAUACUCGGGAAUAGCCUUGCGAAAGUAAGAUUAAUGCCCGGUGUUCCGCGAGGGCCGCAUGGCCUUUUCGGCAAAGUUUUUUACGGUAUGAGAUGGCGGUGCGUCCCAUUAGCUUGUUGGCGGGGUAACGGCCCACCAAGGCGACGAUGGAUAGGGGUUCUGAGAGGAAGGUCCCCCACAUUGGAACUGAGACACGGUCCAAACUCCUACGGGAGGCAGCAGUGAGGAAUAUUGGUCAAUGGGCGAGAGCCUGAACCAGCCAAGUAGCGUGAAGGAUGACGGCCCUACGGGUUGUAAACUUCUUUUGUGCGGGAAUAAAGGAGCCUACGUGUAGGCUUUUGCAUGUACCGUAACGAAUAAGCAUCGGCUAACUCCGUGCCAGCAGCCGCGGUAAUACGGAGGAUGCGAGCGUUAUCCGGAUUUAUUGGGUUUAAAGGGAGCGUAGACGGGUUUUUAAGUCAGCUGUGAAAGUUUGGGGCUCAACCUUAAAAUUGCAGUUGAAACUGGAGACCUUGAGUACGGUUGAGGCAGGCGGAAUUCGUGGUGUAGCGGUGAAAUGCUUAGAUAUCACGAAGAACCCCGAUUGCGAAGGCGGCCUGCUAAGCCGCCACUGACGUUGAGGCUCGAAAGUGCGGGUAUCAAACAGG
rnacentral:rRNA from 1 species